GUGUAGAGAGUAUGGGUGCCAUUGUUCCUGCUCUCUGCCUUAGGGUGGAGAGAGUAUGGGGUAGGUCUGGCUACCCUAAGGAGGCUCCCAGCAGGCAUUGGCUCCCAUAUCAUUAACACAGGCAGGCAUACUGGGAAUGCCAUAGUGAGUGUGGGCUAUCUCAGCUGUGCACAAAGGUCAUUUCAGUCAGUGUGGAGCCAAGAAGGGUGGAGGCCAGGGAGACUGGAGACAAAGGCACCCGGACACAGGCACCCAGUCUGAAGAUCAUGUCCAAAGGGGAGGUUGAUGUUGAUGUUCAGAAUGGAUGCGAGUUUGUAAGGAGCAGGCUACAGAUAGCUCAGCUCUUCCCAGGGGGCAGUUCCAGUUGAGGAGCAAGAGUUGCUCUCUGUGAUGUGACAUGGCUGCAGAGAUUUUCCCCUUCAAAGGCUGGCCCACUGUACACAGAACGAGGGUCACUCCUGCUCCCAGACAGAAAUACAGGUUCCCGGACAUGCCUGGGUGGCCAAAAAAGGUAUAUUUCCAUAUAUUAUAUCACCAGUAUGUGAUAAUAAUUGUACAGUCAUCCCUCAUUAUCAGCGAGGGAUUGAUUCCAGAAACCCCAGGCACGCCAGCAUCCAGAAAUGCUCAAGUCUUUUACAUAAAAUGGCAUGCUGAUUUGCAUAUAAUUUACAUACCUCCUCCAGUAUACUUCAAAUCACCUCGAGAUGGCUUGUUCUAUGUAUGCAAUGCAAAUACUAUGCAGAUAGUUGGUACAUUGUAUUAUUUGGGAAAUGAGGACAAAAAUAAUAAUAAUUGUGCGUUUUCAGGGCAGAUGCAGGGUUUGAUUUUUUUUUUCACUUAAAUGUUUUUAAAGACAUUUUUAUUUGAUGUGUAUGAGUGUUCUUCCUGCUCACGUGUAUGUAUGCGCACCACCUGCACAUACGUGGUGCUUUAAGAAGCCAGAAGAGGACAUCAGGUCCCCUGGGGCCUGAACUCACUGUCAUCUGCAAGAACAGCAAGCACUCUUAACAUCUGGGCUCUCUUUCCAGCCCCAGAUGCAAAGUUUGAAAAAAUUUAUUGUGCGGUGGUGUGUGUGUGUGUGUGUGUGUGUGUGUAGAUCAGAGGAUAACUUGCAGGAGUCAGUUCUCCCCUUCCACCACGUGAGUCCUAGGGAUUGAACUUAGGUCGUCAGACGUGGCAGCAAGCACCUUUACCUGCCAAGCCACCUCACCAGAUUCAGAUGCCAGUCUUUUUGAUCCACUGUUUCGUGAAUCCUCAAAGGUGGGAACACAAGGAAAAGGGGAGCAGACUGUAUGCCUGUGUACACAAGUGCACAAAGUAUACUCAGUGGGCUCAGCUACGGAUAUAACGAGAGUUAGUCCUUUCCCGCCCCCAGACCCUGAGCAGCUUGCCGCCCCUCCAGGGCUGAGUUCUGCAGGUCUGGGAAGGAUGCGCACACUGCAGACCCUCCCCACAAACCCGUCCACCCCUGUUCCCAGAUUCCGAGAAGAGGCAAAGCAACGUACUAAGUCACAGUGAGCCUGCGACAGCAGCCCUGGUGGCUGUUCCCAGGGUCACCCUCUGACCCCUAGCUAUCCCCAUGCAGGUCAGUGGUCAGGGUUGUGUUCUGGAGUAGUUAGGGUUAUACACUGGUAUAUGUACCAUCCCCUGGGGUGGGGGCAGGCAGCCUUGGGUACGUGUAUGUUUUCUCCCCAGUUUGUGCAGUUAGGAGAAGCCCUGAGAACCUAGAGUCAGACAGACCCAGGUUUAAAGCUUGUAGCUGCUACCUCCUAGCUGACAGUCAUUCCUGCUUCUGAAGUUGAAACGUGGUUGCAUGCCAGUAUGCACCUCGUAGGGACUUUGCGUGCAUCCCUCAAAACAUGCAUUUAGCAUGUGAAAUUAAGUCAAUGUGAUCUACAAAUAUCUGUAGCCAUAACAACCUCAAUACUUGCUUCUCUGGGACAAUUCGAGACACCUGUUAGAGGCUGUUCAGUACAGAAGCCACUAACCACCCGCAGCUACUUAUAUUUGAAUUGGAGGGCUGGGUGGGGUACAUAGUUCAGGAUGGAUCCCAUGCUUAGCAUAUUCAAGACCCCAUUCCAAGCUCAACCCUCAGCCAAAACAGCUUGCAAUCAAAAUGAAGUAAAAUAAAUAACUCCAUUCAUUAGUCACAUCCCUAGAGGUCACAUGUGAUAGGUACCCCUGCACUGGCUAUCACAGCGCAGGAGGACCAGGAGACUGUCUGAGAACACAGAGUUGCUCAGAGACCGCAGAAUGAGGCUGUCUGCUUCUGACACUUGCUAGCAUGACCUCAAAUGUGUUACUGCAUCAGACUUAGUCUCCCCACCAGGGAAUGGAGGACGACCAAAGCCCCUGCCUCUGGGAGGAAUCGGGACUUCUGAGAGACAAUCCACCAAAACACUUCACAUAGUGUUGACUUCCUUGGGUACGCGCAUGUUUUCUCAGCCUACCGUGAGCACAUUGUAAGGCUCUCACCAAAUCGCAGAUGCUUGUUGAUCUACGCAUGCGCAGGUGCGCGUGCAGGGGCGUGCGUGUGUGGAGGAUGGGGGUCAGCCUUAGAUGUUCCUUAGGGGCCUUCACCUUUUUUUUUUUUUUAAUUAUGGGUUGUGCGUAUAUAAGCUCAUAAGUGAAGGACCCCUUGGGGCCAGAAGAUGGCAGUAAAUCUCCAUACAUAGUGCUGGACUGAGAGUCAAACGUGAGCUAUCUGAUAGGGGUAUUGGGAACUGAACCCAGGUCCUCCCCCGACCCCGAAAGUGCAGUACCACUGAGCCACCUGGCCAGCCCAUCCCUUGCCCCAUCCACCUAUGUUUUAAGACAAGGUGUCUCAG
rnacentral:lncRNA from 1 species